rnacentral:sRNA from 12 species
GACCUAAACUCUAAAAACCUUUAAUUUUUUUAGAGCAUGGUCACAAAUCCUAUACAAAUAAACAAGGUCUUCUGAUCAGCAUUUAUUUGUAUAGGUCUAUACUCGAAAGGGUAUAGGAUAACUUCGAAAGGAGCUAUC